AUGCGGUCGUGGUGGGAGGGGGUCCUCGCCAGCAACACACAACCGCGGAAAGCCUUGGCCUCCUGUCUUCAUCUUGUUAGCUGGGAGAUCUAGAAGGAGCAAAAUGCACGAGUGUUCAGGACGAAGACCUCACCGGUGGCGAUGAUCGUGCGGAUUAUCAAGGAGGAGGCGUCUAUCUGGGCCCUGACGGGUGCUAGACAUUUGUGUAAUUUGAUGCCCCGAGAGUAG
rnacentral:rRNA from 1 species